UCCUGACAGCUCAGAUGGUAAAGAAUCUGCCUGCAAUGCAGAAGACCUGGGUUCCAUCCCUGGGUUGGGAA
rnacentral:tRNA from 1 species